rnacentral:rRNA from 1 species
UACGGAGGGUGCGAACGUUAAUCGGAAUCACUGGGCGUAAAGCGCGCGUAGGCGGUUUGUUAAGUGGGAUGUGAAAUCCCCGGGCUUAACCUGGGAAUUGCAUUUCAAACUGGCCGACUAGAGUACGGUAGAGGGAGGUAGAAUUUCCUGUGUAGCGGUGAAAUGCGUAGAUAUAGGAAGGAAUACCAGUGGCGAAGGCGGCCUCCUGGAUCGAUACUGACGCUGAGGUGCGAAAGCGUGGGGAGCAAACAGG